GGUCAAUGCGAAGCGAAGCAGUGAUGUGAAGCAAAUCGCACCAAAGCCAGUCCCAGUUCGGAUAAGAGGCUGAAACUCGCCUCUUUGAAGUCGGAAUCGCUAGUAAUCGCAGAUCAGCAUGUUGCGGUGAAUACGUUCCCGGGCCUUGUACACACCGCCCGUCAAACCAUGAGAGUCACCAACACCCGAAGUCCGCCUUGGCGGCCUAAGGUGGGGAGAUGAUUGGGGUUAAGUCGUAACAAGGUAAC
rnacentral:rRNA from 1 species